rnacentral:lncRNA from 1 species
UCCUGGAUAAGGAGGUGAAGCUCAUCAAGAAGAUGGGCAACCACCUGACCAACCUCCGUAGGGUGGCAGGGCCACAACCAGCGCAGACUGGCGUGGCCCAGGCAUCUCUGGGCGAGUAUCUCUCUGAGUGCCUCACUCUGAAGCACGACUAGGCCUUUGUGCCUUCCAAGGGGCUCCCUCCUCUGCUUUGCACCGGCCGCCUCAGCACCUCCACCCGAAUGAACCUCUAAAGCCACUAGGCAGCUUUGUAACCGCCCUGGAGCCUCUUCCAGGUCUCAGACCAAGUAAAAAUAAAGCUUUUUGAAAGAGCAAA